GACGAACGCUGGCGGCGUGCUUAACACAUGCAAGUCGUACGGUAAGGCCCUUUCGGGGGUACACGAGUGGCGAACGGGUGAGUAACACGUGAGUAACCUGCCCACAACUUUGGGAUAACGCUAGGAAACUGGUGCUAAUACUGGAUAUGUGCCCCUGCUGCAUGGUGGGGGUUGGAAAGCUCCGGCGGUUGUGGAUGGACUCGCGGCCUAUCAGCUUGUUGGUGGGGUAGUGGCCUACCAAGGCGGCGACGGGUAGCCGGCCUGAGAGGGUGACCGGCCACAGUGGGACUGAGAUACGGCCCAGACUCCUACGGGAGGCAGCAGUGGGGAAUAUUGCACAAUGGGCGCAAGCCUGAUGCAGCAACGCCGCGUGCGGGAUGACGGCCUUCGGGUUGUAAACCGCUUUCAGCAGGGACGAAGCUUUUUGUGACGGUACCUGCAGAAGAAGCACCGGCUAACUACGUG
rnacentral:rRNA from 1 species